rnacentral:rRNA from 1 species
GAUGAACGCUGGCGGCGUGCCUAAUACAUGCAAGUCGAGCGAACGGACGAGAAGCUUGCUUCUCUGAUGUUAGCGGCGGACGGGUGAGUAACACGUGGAUAACCUACCUAUAAGACUGGGAUAACUUCGGGAAACCGGAGCUAAUACCGGAUAAUAUUUUGAACCGCAUGGUUCAAAAGUAAAAGACGGUCUUGCUGUCACUUAUAGAUGGAUCCGCGCUGCAUUAGCUAGUUGGUAAGGUAACGGCUUACCAAGGCAACGAUGCAUAGCCGACCUGAGAGGGUGAUCGGCCACACUGGAACUGAGACACGGUCCAGACUCCUACGGGAGGCAGCAGUAGGGAAUCUUCCGCAAUGGGCGAAAGCCUGGCGGAGCAACGCCGCGUGAGUGAUGAAGGUCUUCGGAUCGUAAAACUCUGUUAUUAGGGAAGAACAUAUGUGUAAGUAACUGUGCACAUCUUGACGGUACCUAAUCAGAAAGCCACGGCUAACUACGUG